AACGAACGCUGGCGGCUGGCCUAACGCAUGCGAGUCGAACGCGCGUAGCAAUACGCGAGUGGCGCACGGGUGAGUAACAGCGUGGGAAUCUACCCGGAAGUUCGGAAUAACCGCGGGAAACUGCGGCUAAUACCGGAUGCCCCCUACGGGGGAAAGAUUUAUCUCCUUUGGACGAGCCCGCGUCCGAUUAACUAGUUGGUGAGGUAAUGACUCACCAACGCUACCAUCGGUAUCUGGUCUGAGAGGACGACCAGCCACACUGGAUCGUGACACACGGUCCAGACUCCUACGGGAGGCUGCAGUGGGGCAUAUUGCGCUCUGGAUGCAACUCUGACCCAGCCAUGCAGCGCGCGUGACGAAUGUCUUCCGAUUGUAAAGCCCUUUCUGCGGGGACGAUGAUGAUGGUACCCGCUCAACAAGCCCCGGCUAACUUCGUGCCAGCAGCCGCGGUACUACGAACGGGGCUAGCGUUGUUCGGAAUUACCGGGCGUAAAGGGCGUGUAGGCGGCCCGCUAAGUCAGGUGUGAAAUUCCUGGGCUCAACCCAGGACGUGCGCCUGACACUGACGGGCUUGAGUCCGGUACAGGAUGGUGAAACUCUGCAGUGUACAGGUGAAAUUCGUAGAUAUUGGGAAGAACACCCGUGGCGAAGGCGGCCAUCUGGACCGGUACUGACGCUAAGGCGCGACAGCGUGGGGAGCAAACAGGAUUAGAUACCCUGGUAGUCCACGCCGUAAACGAUGAGUGCUAGACGUCGGGAAGCCUAGCUUUUCAGUGUCGCAGCUAACGCAUUAUGCACUCCGCGUGGGGAGUACGACCGCAAGGAUGAAACUCAAAGGAAUUGACGGGGGCCCGCACAAGCGGUGGAGCAUGUGGUUCAAUUCGACGCAACGCGAAGAACCUUACCAACCCCUGACAUGCCAGGACGGUUUCCGGAGACGGACUCCUUCUCGCAAGAGACCUGGACACAGGUGUUGCAUGGCUGUUGUCAGCUCGUGUCGUGAGAUGUUGGGAUAAGUCCCGCAACGAGAGCAACCCCUACCUUCAGUCGCCAUCACUUGUAGGUGGGCACUAUGAAGGAAGUGCCGGUGACAAGCCGGAGGAAGGCGGGGAUGACCUCAAGUCCUCAUGGCCCUUAUGGGUUGGGCCACACACGUGAUACAAUGGCGGCGACAGUGGGAUGCAACGGGGCGACCCCGCGCAAAUCUCAAAGAACCGUCUCAGUUCGGAUUGCACUCUGCAACUCGAGUGCAUGAAGUCGGAAUCGCUAGUAAUCGUGGAUCAGCAUGCCACGGUGAAUACGUUCCCGGGCCUUGUACACACCGCCCGUCACACCAUGGGAGUUGGUUGUACCAUAAGCCGGUGCGCUAACCGCAAGGAGGCAGCCGUCCACGGUAGGGUCAAUGAUUGGGGUG
rnacentral:rRNA from 1 species